rnacentral:rRNA from 1 species
UCGAACGAGAAAGUGGAGCAAUCCAUGAGUAAAGUGGCGACCGGGUGAGUAACACGUGACCAAUCUACCCUCGAGUGGGGGAUAACUCCGGGAAACCGGGGCUAAUACCGCAUAACAUCUUUGGAUCGGAAGAACUGAAGAUCAAAGGAGCAAUUCGCUUGAGGAGGAGGUCGCGGCUGAUUAGCUAGUUGGCGGGGUAAUGGCCCACCAAGGCGAAGAUCGGUAGCCGGCCUGAGAGGGCGCACGGCCACACUGGAACUGAAACACGGUCCAGACUCCUACGGGAGGCAGCAGUGGGGAAUUUUGCGCAAUGGGGGAAACCCUGACGCAGCAACGCCGCGUGGAGGAUGAAGUCCCUUGGGACGUAAACUCCUUUCGACCGGGACGAUUAUGACGGUACCGGUGGAAGAAGCCCCGGCUAACUUCGUGCCAGCAGCCGCGGUAAUACGAGGGGGGCGAGCGUUGUUCGGAAUUAUUGGGCGUAAAGGGCGCGUAGGCGGUGCGGUAAGUCACCUGUGAAAUCUCCCGGCUCAACUGGGAGCCUGCAGGCGAAACUGCCGUGCUGGAGUAUGGGAGAGGUGCGUGGAAUUCCCGGUGUAGCGGUGAAAUGCGUAGAUAUCGGAGGAACACCUGUGGCGAAAGCGGCGCACUGGACCAUAACUGACGCUGAGGCGCGAAAGCUAGGGGAGCAAACAGGAUUAGAUACCCUGGUAGUCCUAGCCCUAAACGAUGGAUGCUUGGUGUGAUCGGUACCCAAUCCGAUUGUGCCGAAGCU